UCAUACGUAGGUCCCAAGCGUUAUCCGGAAUUACUGGGCGUAAAGAGUUGCGUAGGCGGCUUAUUAAGCAAGGUGUGAAAUCGUACGGCUCAACCGUAUACACAUACUUUGAACUGGUAAGCUAGAGUAUAUGAGAGGUCACUGGAAUUUCUAGUGUAGGAGUGAAAUCCGUAGAUAUUAGAAGGAACACCGAUGGCGUAGGCAGGUGACUGGCAUAUUACUGACGCUAAGGCACGAAAGCGUGGGGAGCGAACCGGAUUAGAUACCCGGGUAGUCCACGCCGUAAACUAUGGAUGCUAGCUGUUGGUCGUAUCGACCCGAUCAGUAGCGAAGCUAACGCGUUAAGCAUCCCGCCUGUGGAGUACGAUCGCAAGAUUA
rnacentral:rRNA from 1 species